AGCUGUAGACUCAUUGGAUAUCUCUCGCGUGUCGCGUGUCGCGCUGGUGUGCCGGGGGUAUUAGGAUCCCCUUUAAACAACACUGGACGCUGCGCGCCGGGAGAGAAAUCCCUACCGUAUCCCUGUCGAUUCCGUUUCCCCGCGCAUCACCUAUUACGAAUCACGAGCGGCCGGAGCGGCGCGUGCUGACUUGCGCAUGAUGUCAGUCUUUCUAGCGCACCGUUACGGGGUGAAGAGGUGAAUUGUCACUGCCACCGUCGCCGCUGCCGCCGUGCGAGAGCGAGCGCUCAUCGUCCGAUUGUCAAUUACGUUCCACUGAAUUAGCCGUCAAGCGCCGUCAAGCGCCGUCAAGCGCCGUUGGCUAAUACACUGUGCGUGCGCGAUACCGUAUACGCACUACGGACAGAAUUCCGCCGAUCGACGACGCGCUUCAGCGAGCUGUGACACGCGUAUUAUCGUGCGCGGCAUUGCGAUGAUCGAGUAAGCUCGGGCGAAGCGGUAUCUACGAGGAUUCUUUCAGAUAUUCCGCGGCGAUGCAUGCACGGAAGACUAUGGAAGACCUGUGAGAGCGGCAUCGCGGAAGCCGGGGGUACCCCGGAUAAGGGGUGGUCGACGCGCCAUACGAGAAGGGUGAGGGCGACGUGGACGUGGACGCAGGAAGCGCGUGUUAGGUGAGGUAGCAGUGGAAGGGGGCUUGGAUACUACUGGAUCGGCCCAUCGGGAAGAGUGAAAGGUGAGCGUUGGCGACGAUUCUCGCCGACGUGCACAUCCGCACGGCUGUUCGUCUCUCCACGGCGUCCAUCCGACCGCCAUGUUAUUCUGGAGCGGCGGUGUUACGUCGUUGGCGUCGCUGCUUUUGUGCCUCCUCGUGCUCGGCACAGCCGGCGUCGAUGAGUCCGGUAUAAAUAAGUUGGAAGUAGCAGCAGCAGAAUCCAAGACCGAGCGGACCGCGUCAUUGGAGAUUCGAUCAUCACAAGAUACCGAGGGUAUAGAGGCAGGCAGCACACCGACGUUAUUGUGCAAGCUUAACGUGCCGGGUCAAGUUUGGUGGAGCACCGACGGCAGGAAUCUCAGCACUAUCAAUGAGUUUGACUACAUCGGACGAUUUGACAUAAAGAAGGCCAGCAGAAACGACACGGGCGACUACAAAUGCUCCGCGCAGACUGUCGACGGCGAAUUCCUCGAAAAAAACAUUCAUAUCAGAGUGAUAGAACCCGGCAAGAUAACAUCCGGCGGGAAUGUAAGGGCGAAAGUGUCAGAAGCAGCCAACUUGACGUGCCACAUACACGGUUAUCCGUUAUCCCAAUUUACUUGGUUAAAAGGGAAUAAUUCGGAGAGCAGCGAGCAUUUGAAGAAUCUCACUGUCGUUGCACAAAUAAACGAGACUUACGCCGUUUUAGUCCUGGAAUUCAAAAGUUUAGCGCGAAAGGACAAUGGCACGUAUGUGUGUCAGGCGAACGACUACAACGGGAUAGUGAGCGCCUUGACGCAUUUAUUUGUCACCGAUGUGCCAAAAGUCAGCAUAGAUUUUAUGAAGGCGGUUGGUGCAGGCAGCAUAUUCCUAAAUUGGACUGUCAGUGAUGGUAACGAGCCGAUUAAGAAGUAUUUCAUCCAGCAUAUGAAGAAAGGCACGGAUCAACGUCAGUACUAUGCCGAGCAGAUUGGUGGUGGUAAUUCGAGCUACGUUCUCAAGGGAUUUGAGAGCGACACUGCGUAUCAAAUCGGCAUCAGCGCUAUCAAUGCGCUGGGCACGUCACACAUGCAAUUAGAUCCACGAUGGAUCACCACGCUUGAGAAAGAUCCAGUGUUUGUGCCGAAAGUAUCCGUGAAUGGCGUGACAGAAAAUUCAAUCACAAUAGGUUGGACCGUGCCACCACCGGAUUUGAAGGAACAUGUGCACUAUUACAAUCUGAUGGCCACUCACGCUGAUCAGAAGAGAGAAGCAGUGUAUCCCGCUCAGCCGUUCAUCGUGUAUGCAUUUGUAGAUCUCGAUCCAGCGACCACGUACAAAUUCAAAAUAGCUGCUUGCAGUGAAUAUACGAAACAAUGCGGUAAUUGGAGUGCCGAAGUAAAUGGCACCACUUUGGAUGGAGUGGCUAGUCCUCCGAAGAAUCUCAUCGUUAUUUGUCGCUAUGACAAUAUAAGCAGUUUCAGUUUUAUGUCCAUCACUUGGAAACCCCCGGAGAAGCCAAAUGGCAUUAUACAGCGCUACAAUAUACAAUUGAACGGCGUAGCAAGAUUCAAGAAUGACAUGGGACGUUUGGACAUUCAAAGUUUCGAACCGCCCAGCUGGAGUGUCUAUAAUAGGAACAGCACGCAUUACAAUAAGAUACCUCCUAAUACAAAUUAUACGGUUCGGGUGCACGGAGUAACAAGAUCUCGCACUCCUGGCAAGGAUGCUAUAGGAAACUGUACGACGCCAGUUACGGUUCCAGGUCGCGAUAAUAUGAACAUGCGCAGCUGGCGGAAGAUUGAAAACCAGGGUAGGCAGUUGUUCAAACUCUAUCUACCGCGUAUCUCGGAACGGAACGGUCCAAUCUGCUGCUACCGCGUCUACCUAGUGAAAUUACCGCCGCAUAAAACAGUUGGUGAUUUACCAUCACCUGAAGAGAUCGUGGUAUAUUCUUAUCAGUAUGUGCAUAAUUCACCUACCGGUGGUGCAUAUAUUGCCGAGAUAUUCGACAGCGAUCAAUUAUUGACAGAGAUCUUUCUCGGUGACGGCGAGUCGUCUAACGGUGGUGCUAUGUGCGAUAAGUGCAUCGGUUUACGACCCAAACCAGUACCGCCAUUAUUACACUUUGUUCCGGAAAUCUCAUCAACUACCACUGUAACUUCAAGUAAUAUGAGCAGUAUCGUUACUAGCACUACGGCAAUUACAUCCAUGCUGACGACAACUGCAAGUAGCAGUGGUAGCAGCACAACUACUAAUCCAUCUACCACAUUAUCGAUGACCACUACCAGUACGAAAAUUGACACAACCAUGGCCGUACCUGUGAUUAUGAAUGCCACGGAAAAAGUGGAGAGACGAAAGAGAGAAGACGCGCCGCUGCAAAAGGCAUCUAUAGAUGAAUCUGGAGAAUUUAGUGUUUUAUCACCUUACGAUGGUUUUCUUGAUGAAACUUCGAAUUAUACUGGUUUUAUCGAAGUUAUUGUGUUCGAUAAUGAAAAGGAUCAGUUUUUACCGGCUUACAGCAGUUAUUUCAAUCCUCUUUACGGCGGAGUGGAUCCUCUCAGUGUAACGGCUGCGGAAGCGACUACUAUCAGAGAAAUGAUAUUACAACUCUUCAUCGCCCUAAUUUUAACUCUCACAAUUCUGUUUAUCGUACUCUGUGUAUUAUAUAGAUUUACGAAACGUGCGCAAGAGAGGGAAGAGGUUAUAACGCUGCGCAAUAGUUUCAGACAUCUCUGUAGGAGUUUGAGAGGCAGGCAUCAGCUCGUGGCAGCGAGUCCACCAGAUAUGCCCCCCAUACCUAAGAACGAAUUAUUGCAAGCGUACUUGGAACGCCAUAGGGACUCGGAUUAUGGUUUCCAGCACGAAUUUGAACUGCUACCUGAUCGAUUCACGGAUAGAACGACACGUGCAUCCGAAGCACAGGAGAAUCUAUAUAAGAAUCGUUAUCCGGACAUUAAGUGUUACGAUCAGACGAGAGUACGUUUGGCGCAGAUGGACGGUAUCUGCGGCUCUGAUUACAUCAAUGCCAACUUUGUAUUGGGCUAUAAGGAACGCAAGAAGUUUAUCUGCGCCCAGGGCCCGAUGGAGAACACUGUGUGCGACUACUGGCGCAUGAUCUGGGAGCAGCAUCUCGAGCUAAUUCUUAUGCUGACCAAUCUCGAAGAAUAUUCGAAGACCAAGUGCGCCAAGUAUUGGCCGGACAAACGCGAAACCAAAAACUUUGGUGACAUCACAGUGGAACACGUUAAAGAGCGUGCCUACUCGGACUAUGUAGUGCGCGAAUUGAAGAUGACGCGACUAGGCGAGCGCGACGCCCGCGCGAUCGUGCAGUAUCACUUCCUCGUGUGGAAAGACUUCGUUGCUCCCGAGCAUCCACAUGCGAUUUUACGCUUUAUUAAGCGCGUCAAUGAAGCGUAUUCGCUCGAAAAGGGGCCAAUCUUGGUGCACUGCAGCGCUGGUGUGGGCCGCACCGGCACGCUCGUGGCAUUGGAUUCUCUGCUGCAACAGUUGGCCGAGGAGGGCCAGGUAUCUAUCUUCAACACUGUGUGUGAUUUACGGCAUCAGCGCAACUUUCUUGUGCAAUCGCUUAAGCAAUACAUUUUCAUCUAUCGCGCGCUUAUGGAGAUGGCACAGUACGGCGACACAGAGAUUUCGGCACCACAACUCAAAACCACAAUCGUCAAAUUGAGACAGCGGGACAACGGAAAAGAGAAGUGUAGGAUGGAGGAAGAAUAUGAUAAAAUUAGUUCCAUAUUAGAAGAUCGGAAAUCCUUCUCUGUCGGAGGUGGAGACGAGAAUAAAUUAAAGAAUAGAAGCGAAUUGGUGAUACCAUAUGAUAGAAAUCGCGUGAUACUCACGCCAGUUCCAGGAAAGGAACAUUCAACAUAUAUAAACGCGUCGUUCAUCGAAGGCUACGAUAACUCCGAAUCGUUUGUCAUUACGCAAGAUCCCCUGGAGAUCACUAUAACGGAUUUCUGGCGAAUGAUUUCGGAACAAUGCAUCUCUACGAUAGUUAUGUUAUCUGACUUGAAUGAAGGCCCGCGGAAGUGCCCACGCUAUUGGCCUGACGAUGAAACCGAUUACGAUCAUAUAAGGGUUCGUUACAUCCAUAGUGAAAGUUGUCCAUAUUACACGCGUCGCGAAUUUUGCAUUUUGAACACAAAAACUGACGAGAGUGGAGUCGUAAAGCAGUAUCAAUAUCAUGGCUGGCCAACGGUGGAGGGUGAAGUACCUGAGGUGACGCGCGGUCUUAUUGAGUUGGUAGAUCAGACAUUGACGAACGAUACCGAGACGAGCGGCUCGCUGGUCGUGCACUGCAGUUACGGAUCAGAUCGGAGUUCAAUGUUCGUGGCUCUUAGCAUACUGGUCCAGCAAUUACGCACUGAGAAGCGCGUAGAUAUUUUCACAACGACGAAGAAAUUGCGUUCUCAGCGACACGGCAUGAUCAGCACCUUCGCGCAAUAUGAGUUUCUUCAUCGUGCCAUCGUGAAUUACUCGGAUCUUCACAAUUUAGCCGAUGAUGAAACGGCAGCAUAAUGUUUGAAAAGCAGCAAGAGCGAGACUAAAUUGUUCUAAAUAUUGUUUUGGCGGACAUGUGCGCGAAAAAGUUCCGUGACAAGUGUCCGGCGAUCCACGAACGUUCAAAUAAGCAUACAUUGCCUCAACCAAAGAUGAAUAAACGUCGAUAAAGAUCAUUAAUGUCAUCGUCAUCAUCACUAUUAUCAUCAUCGUGUAAACGGAAAGUGGAUCGCGAUGCACAAAGCGGAUCUAAAGACUACUUGUACAUAAUAUGUUCGCAAAUUUUACAUGUGCUGACUAUUAGUUAAGUGUGGAAGAAGAGCAUUGACUGGAGAUUAACUAAAAAUCGACUCAUCGUGGUAUUACUACGUGAAUUUCCGACAUCGUUGGUGAAAACCUUAAAGUGCAGUGCGUGAUAUUGUCACGAAACACCGUUACAGAAGCUUAUUUUUAUUGGUAACCUAACGAUUUAGCCAGAGCAUAUUGUCAUAGUGUGACAAAGUUUUAAUAUCGAAAUUCGACACAGACACGAAUGCUCUUGUCGGUAUCCUGCAUAUGGCUGUACAGCGAAGCUGAGACACACAGGAAGGAAUGGAUAUACUUGUAUAGUUGUUAGAGACCUCUAAGAAGAUUGGAGGAAUACCCGCUGCCUGUAUUUAUAAAUAAAUAAAUAAAUAAAUAAAUAAAUAAAUAUAUAUAUAGGGUGUCUCAAAAAAUCGCGAUUUGAAUACUAUACGCAAGAAAAUUCUCGAAAAAUUAAAUAAAAGUGAAAAUAUGCAUGUAUAUAUACAUAUAAUAUAUAUAAUUCACAUUGAAUUAUUUAAAAGCUCCAGCCUUCGACCGGUAUAGGUAUUUAAUUUCUAGUUUAUAUUGGUUGUGUUCUCAUGUACGGUCUAAAAUAAAAUUCUUAUGUAAGUGUUAUUUAUAAAUUUUUAUUUUAGACGGUAUUUUUUGAGAUAAGAGGAUUUUGAGAGGUUUAUACAGUCAGUUACAGAUUAUGUUUAGAUAGUCACCUGUCCAUGAGUCGUGUGUAUGGUGUAUAAUAAUAUUAAUGAGUGUGGUCAGCGCGUUCACUAAGACUCACAGGUGAUCAUCUAAACGUAAAUUAUAAUUAGUUAUAUUUAAUUCCUUACAUACUCAAAAACUCUGCUUAAAAUA
rnacentral:misc_RNA from 1 species